CGUACACUUCAGCCGCACUCAGACCGAGGCUUCAAGGCGGACCAGAGUUCACGUUUUUGGUCCAAACGAACCGGACUUUUUAGCUAAACAAACUGGAGUUUGAUUGAAGUGGACCAAACAGGGCUGGAGUGAUUGUUCCCUAAAACUAAUAUAACAUGGUUCUGUCGGCUUCUUCAAGGGAUGUGGUUCAGUGAACACUGGAGCUGUUCGAAGUUAAGAGUAAAGUGGCCAGGAUGAGAAUCAGCUCCUCCAAGUUAGAGAUCGUGUUUCUCGACUGAAAAAAGGAACGAAAGAAAAAGAAGAACGCGACUGAGAAGUGAUGAAGAAAAUAUCCAAGCUAACAGGGUUUUUAAAAAAAUCACAUUGGACAUGGAACAGAACCAUCGACACUCUCCGCUUCUCUAGACGCUAGCCUUGCUAACAGCGGUUCUAUGGUCCGCCAGAACCUGGACCUCCGUCUGAUCCGGUGCCCGAGGAGUCAGAGGCGGCGGAAGGACGAACUUCUUCGCCAGGUGCAGCGAUGACCACAGAUAAUCCGUACAGUACUGAUGAGUAAAAACUGAUGAGUAUGGAUGUUAAUUUUAAAGCAUCGGAACAUCGUUACGAACAUCAGAAACAAUUCUUCUCCAGAUCGCGUUUUGAAAGCCAGCUGGCAAGCGCAAAAAGUUGGCAAUCGUGGAGUGACUGUAGUAAACCUUGCAUGGAGAGAUGACCUGCUGGUUGGGACUGUCCAUCAGCCCUCCCUCAUGG